AUCUUUGCGCUUGGGGCAAUGACGCAGCUAGUGAGGUUCUAACCGAGGCGCGUCUAUUGCUGGUUGAAAACUAUUUCCAAACCCCCUCUAUGGCUUAGGUUUACCCUAAAGCCUUAGAGAAUUUUUGAAAGGGUUUCCUUAUC
rnacentral:snRNA from 1 species